UGACCUCGGAUCAGGUGAGGAUACCCGCUGAAUUUAA
rnacentral:rRNA from 9 species